rnacentral:rRNA from 1 species
CAGCAGCCACGGUAAUACAGAGGGUGCGAGCGUUAAUCGGAUUUACUGGGCGUAAAGCGUGCGUAGGCGGCUUCUUAAGUCGGAUGUGAAAUCCCUGAGCUUAACUUAGGAAUUGCAUUCGAUACUGGGAAGCUAGAGUAUGGGAGAGGAUGGUAGAAUUCCAGGUGUAGCGGUGAAAUGCGUAGAGAUCUGGAGGAAUACCGAUGGCGAAGGCAGCCAUCUGGCCUAAUACUGACGCUGAGGUACGAAAGCAUGGGGAGCAAACAGGAUUAGAGACCCGCGUAGUCCCUGUCUCUUAUAC